rnacentral:rRNA from 1 species
UACGGGGGGGGCAAGCGUUGUUCGGAAUUACUGGGCGUAAAGGCUCGUAGGCGGCCAACUAAGUCAGACGUGAAAUCCCUCGGCUUAACCGGGGAACUGCGUCUGAUACUGGAUGGCUUGAGUUUGGGAGAGGGAUGCGGAAUUCCAGGUGUAGCGGUGAAAUGCGUAGAUAUCGGGAGGAACACCUGUGGCGAAGGCGGCCCCCUGGUUGGAUACUGACGCUGAUACGCGAAAGCGUGGGGAGCGAACGAGG